AGCACAGGAGCUGCUGCCUCGCACAGGAGCAAGUUACCGCGUUCAGCUCGCCCGCCGUAACUUGCUGCUGUGAGAGGCAGCGGCUCCUGGCU
rfam:Colinus virginianus strain Texas jcf7180006227072, whole genome shotgun sequence.